AAUGCCGCAAGGUGGAGCCAAUCUUUAAAACCGGUCUAAGUUCGAAUUGAGGGCUGCAACCUGCCCUCAUGAAGUUGGAAUCGCUAGUAAACGCGCAUCAGCAAUGGCGCGUUGAAUAUGUUCCUGGGUCUUGUACUCACCGCCCGUCAUGGCAUGGGAGGAAGUAAUAUUGGAAGCCCCUCUAGUAAUAUGAGGGUCCAUAGUAGGACUUCUGACUGGGCUAAAGUCGUAACAAGGUAUCCGUAGGAGAACCUGCGGAUGGAUUACCUCCUUU
rnacentral:rRNA from 1 species